rnacentral:lncRNA from 1 species
CGGGGCGAGGACUGCCCGCCGUCAUUUCCCUAUGCGCCCCUCGGGAUCACCGAGCGCUUCUUCCGAUCCAACCGCAGCGCCAGCAUCGACGACUUCGCUGCUUUCGUACAAAGCCUUGCGCCGAACCUGCGCAGCGGAGGCCACUCGAACUCUAGCGAGGUCGGCUUGGUCAGGGCAUUCCCCAGGCGGUGGAUCUCCACAGCGUGCCGAUGGGUUGAGUUGUCUGCGCGUUGUCAUCUGGAGCGGAGUUUGCAGUCCAGGGGCUCUGCUGGCCUCGCGCUUUACCAGCAGCUGUGGAAGCUGCUUUACUUCGCACCUUUCUUGGGUAGCCAGGCUCGUCCACUGGUAAAGGCAGCCUACCAGGAACCCCCCGAUCCUCAGCUGCAAGCUUGUGUCCGUUUCAUUGACGACGCGUUUCGGCAAAAGACCACCCAGGCUGCCAGGGCGACGCUGUCGGAGGCUGUCGAUGGCUUACACGACACCGUCGCCCAUUUCGUAUGGGAGGCCC